rnacentral:rRNA from 1 species
GGAUGGGCCCGCGGCCUAUCAGCUUGUUGGUGAGGUAACGGCUCACCAAGGCGACGACGGGUAGCCGGCCUGAGAGGGCGACCGGCCACACUGGGACUGAGACACGGCCCAGACUCCUACGGGAGGCAGCAGUGGGGAAUAUUGCACAAUGGGCGCAAGCCUGAUGCAGCGACGCCGCGUGAGGGAUGACGGCCUUCGGGUUGUAAACCUCUUUCAGCAGGGAAGAAGCGCAAGUGACGGUACCUGCAGAAGAAGCGCCGGCUAACUACGUGCCAGCAGCCGCGG